CAGGAGGUGGCCAGGUGCUGGGGAAGGCUUCCAGGAGGAGGCAGCAUUGGAGCUAGCCUGGGCGGAGGCCAAGAGGGGAUCGGGUACAGCGGCAGAGGUGACAAGUGUGCGAGCUUGGGGCACACGGAAGCCCCAUGUGGCUGCAGGGCAGUAUCCCACGGGACAGCAAGGAGGAGACACCUGCCAGCUUCCUGGUCCUUGAUGCAGACCAGAAAAAAGGAAGAGGAGGAAGAGAAGGAGGAGGAAGAGGAAGAAGAGAAGGAAGAAGAGGAAGAAGAGAUGGAAGAAGGGGAAAGGAGAUCUGGAGCUGUCUCUUUAAAUCUUUCUAGAAGUCCAACAGAAAUAGAACAUUUAUCUGUGUGAAGGCUACACAGGCUUAACUAAAAAUGUCAAGUUUCUUUGCUGGAAUUUUAACAGGGAACAUGAUAAGUGUACAUUUAUUCAGUAAUGAUCAAUUCCGGGUUCUCUUUUGUAUGAGAUGAAAUGGUGACAUGCUGCUCAGAAGCUCUGCUUGGUUUUGUUUCAUACAAAAUCACCUCUUGAAGUAAUAAUUGCUGGAUGAAUGUUAUCUGAUUGUCCUAAACUCUUGCUCUUCUCUCUGUGUUGUGUGCCCUGGGGAGAGGCUACAAAGAUGGGAUAAUAAAAAAGUAAAAUGUUUGCUUUAAAAAAAAUUUUUUUUUUAAUUUUUUUUUUAGAUAGGGUCAUGUUGUGUGCCCUGGGGAGAGGCUACAAAGAUGGGAUAAUAAAAAAGUAAAAUGUUUGCUUUAAAAAAAAUUUUUUUUUUAAUUUUUUUUUUUAGAUAGGGUCAUGGUGGCUCAUGCCUGUAAUCCCAACACUCAGGAGCCUGAGGCAGGAGGAUUGCUGUGACUUCAAGGCUAGGCUGGGCUACAUAGCAAAACCCUGUCCCCAAACAAAACAGGCCAAGGAUUUAACUCAGUGGCACCACACCUGCCUUGCAAGUGCAAGGUCCUGAGUUUGAUGCCUGGUACCAAAACAAAACAAAACAAAAAAAGGAAGGAUUAGAGGUGUGGGCCACCACACCUGUAUCUGUAUUUUACAGAUGAGAAAACUGAGAUCAAGGGGUCUGAUCAGCUCAAGGUCAUGCAGUGAGGUCAAGGUCAUCUGGCGGCAGGGACCGGACCCCAGGCUUCUUGGUGUCCUGGGUGUGGAGCAGGUAGGGAGGAGAAAGAGGUGACUCUUUAACUCACUCUGUCUCUGCAGGUCGGGGCCACCGGCUGCCCGGGAGACAGGAGAGGGGACCCCUGGGAACGGACAGCUGUGUGUGGGAGAGAGCAGGUGGCAGAGCAGGUGCAGGUGACAGCAGGGACCAGGAGGAUGGGAUGGCACAGAGAGGAGCUGGCGCCCCUGCGGCCCUGAGAUUCUGUAGGGCCCUAGACCCUGGCCAGGCUGGGUGCCUGGGA
rnacentral:lncRNA from 1 species